GACGAACGCUGGCGGCGUGCUUAACACAUGCAAGUCGAACGGAAAGGCCCUGCUUUUGUGGGGUUCUCGAGUGGCGAACGGGUGAGUAACACGUGAGUAACCUGCCCUUGACUUUGGGAUAACUUCAGGAAACUGGGGCUAAUACCGGAUAGGAGCUCCUGCUGCAUGGUGGGGGUUGGAAAUUUUCGGCGUUUGGGGAUGGACUCGCGGCUUAUCAGCUUGUUGGUUGGGUAGUGGCUUACCAAGGCUUUGACGGGUAGCCGGCCCGAGAGGGUGACCGGGCACAUUGGGACUGCGAUACGGACCAGACUCCUACGGGAGGCAGCAGUGGGGAAUAUUGCACAAUGGGCCGAAGCCUGAUGCAGCAACGCCGCGUGCGGGAUGACGGCCUUCGGGUUGUAAACCGCUUUAGCCUGUGACGAAGCGUGAGUGACGGUAAUGGGUAAAGAAGCACCGGCUAACUACGUG
rnacentral:rRNA from 1 species